UACGGAGGAGGCAAGCGUUAUCCGGAAUUAUUAGGCGUAAAGCGUCCGUAGGUGGUUGGCCAAGUCUGCUGUCAAAGGGUGGGGCUUAACCUCAUAAAGGCAGUGGAAACUGGCGAGCUCGAGUGCGGUAGGGGUAGGGGGAAUUCCCAGUGUAGCGGUGAAAUGCGUAGAGAUUGGGAAGAACAUCAGUGGCGAAAGCGCCCUGCUGGGCCUGCACUGACACUGAGGGACGAAAGCUAGGCGAGCGAAAGGG
rnacentral:rRNA from 1 species